UACGUAGGGUGCGAGCGUUAAUCGGAAUUACUGGGCGUAAAGUGUGCGCAGGCGGCGGAGCAAGUCGAGUGUGAAAGCCCCGGGCUUAACUUGGGAACUGCGCUCGAAACUACUUUGCUGGAGUGUGGCAGAGGAAGGUGGAAUUCCAGGUGUAGCGGUGAAAUGCGUAGAGAUCUAGAGGAACACCGAUGGCGAAGGCAGCCUUCUGGGCCAACACUGACGCUCAUGCACGAAAGCGUGGGGAGCAAACAGG
rnacentral:rRNA from 1 species